rnacentral:rRNA from 1 species
UACGUAGGGUGCAAGCGUUAAUCGGAAUUACUGGGCGUAAAGCGUGCGCAGGCGGUUUUGUAAGUCAGAUGUGAAAUCCCCGGGCUUAACCUGGGAACUGCGUUUGAAACUACAAGGCUAGAGUGUGGCAGAGGGGGGUGGAAUUCCACGUGUAGCAGUGAAAUGCGUAGAGAUGUGGAGGAACACCGAUGGCGAAGGCAGCCCCCUGGGCCAGCACUGACGCUCAUGCACGAAAGCGUGGGGAGCAAACAGG